UAGACGUUCAACUUUGUAACUUCACCUUAGUCUCUGAGGGCCACAGCUUCAUUUACAUGAGAACUUGAAGAUUUUUAGUGUUAUGCCUACUCUGCCAAUUCUUGGAACAUUUGCGGAACUGAGAAUUUACUUCUUCGUUUAUUACUUCCUAACUACAUUUUAAAGACUCAUUUGUUCUAGAUUCAGAUCAUUCAACAAAACAUGGCAUGAUUUCCACAGUCUCUGACAUUCUGAUUGCAUUGCUUGAGAAAAUUCUCAGUCUGGGAAUCUCCUUAAAAUGCAGCACAGAUGAUGGCUGAAUAGGAACAGCUCCGGUCUGCAGCUCCCAGCGAGAUCAACGCAGAAGGCGGGUGAUUUCUGCAUUUCCAACUGAGGGUGUAACACUGUGACCAACGAAGAGAGUGUUUUCUAUCAGUGACUCGCAGACUUCCCUUUCACUGGAAUCCAGCUUAUUAGCUGCAUGGUUAACUUUGGAGCCAGGAAAACAUCCUGCACAUGACACUGCCAUCAAGCAGAGGAGACAUGUUUCUCGGCUUCCCCUCUCUGGGACUUAAUAGCCUCUGAAGGCUAGCCUUUACUGACUCAUGAAGCUGUGUCUGCCUGGGGUCAGUGGUGGAGACAUUGCGUUAACCCCAGCAAGCGAGCCAUCACCAGAGCUUUGCACAGGGAGACACCACAUAGAAAGGCAGAUGAGGCAACACACACACCAUCCCCAGACAGCCAUGGGUCCCCAGA
rnacentral:lncRNA from 1 species